UACGUAGGGGGGCAAGCGUUGUCCGGAUUUAUUGGGCGUAAAGAGCGUGUAGGCGGCCAGACAGGUCCGUUGUGAAAACUCGAGGCUCAACCUCGAGACGCCGAUGGAAACCGUCUGGCUAGAGUCCGGAAGAGGAGAGUGGAAUUCCUGGUGUAGCGGUGAAAUGCGCAGAUAUCAGGAGGAACACCGGUGGCGAAGGCGGGUCUCUGGGCAAUAACUGACGCUGGAGGAGCGAAAGCGUGGGGAGCGAACAGG
rnacentral:rRNA from 1 species